CCGGGUGCUAACGUCCGACGUCAAGAGGGAAACAACCCAGACCGCCAGCUAAGGUCCCCAAGAUUGGCUAAGUGGGAAACGAAGUGGGAAGGCUAAAACAGUCAGGAGGUUGGCUUAGAAGCAGCCACCCUUUAAAGAAAGCGUAAUAGCUCACUGAUCGAGUCGUCCUGCGCGGAAGAUGUAACGGGGCUAAGCCAGUCACCGAAGCUGCGGAUGCGUGCUUGCACGCAUGGUAGGAGAGCGUUCCGUAAGCCUGCGAAGGUGCCUUGUAAAGGGUGCUGGAGGUAUCGGAAGUGCGAAUGCUGACAUGAGUAGCGAUAAAGGGGGUGAAAGGCCCCCUCGCCGUAAGCCCAAGGUUUCCUACGCAACGUUCAUCGGCGUAGGGUGAGUCGGCCC
rnacentral:rRNA from 1 species